UUCCAAACAUAAUUCUGUACCUUUGCUGA
rnacentral:piRNA from 1 species